GAUGAACGCUAGCGGGAGGCUUAAUACAUGCAAGUCGAGCGGUAACUAUGAGUAGCAAUACGAGUAGCUAGAGCGGCGCACGGGUGAGGAACACGUAGCUCAUCUGCCCAGAAGCGCGGGAUAACGCCCCGAAAGGGGUGCUAAUACCGCAUAAGCUCACGGUUUGCAGAGGACGGUGAGAAAAGGGGAAACCCACUUUUGGAGGAGGCUGCGGCCCAUCAGGUAGUUGGUGCGGUAACGGCGCACCAAGCCGACGACGGGUAGCCGGCCUGAGAGGGUGACCGGCCACACUGGGACUGAGAUACGGCCCAGACUCCUACGGGAGGCAGCAGUGGGGAAUAUUGCACAAUGGGCGCAAGCCUGAUGCAGCGACGCCGCGUGAGGGAUGA
rnacentral:rRNA from 1 species